rnacentral:rRNA from 1 species
AUUGAACGCUGGCGGCAUGCCUUACACAUGCAAGUCGAACGGCAGCACGGGAGCAAUCCUGGUGGCGAGUGGCGAACGGGUGAGUAAUAUAUCGGAACGUGCCCAGUCGUGGGGAUAACGUAGCGAAAGCUACGCUAAUACCGCAUACGAUCUAUGGAUGAAAGCGGGGGAUCGCAAGACCUCGCGCGAUUGGAGCGGCCGAUAUCAGAUUAGGUAGUUGGUGAGGUAAAGGCUCACCAAGCCGACGAUCAGUAGCUGGUCUGAGAGGACGACCAGCCACACUGGGACUGAGACACGGCCCAGACUCCUACGGGAGGCAGCAGUGGGGAAUUUUGGACAAUGGGCGCAAGCCUGAUCCAGCAAUGCCGCGUGCAGGAUGAAGGCCUCGGUUGUAACUGUCUUUGUUACGGUAACGGAAACCGGUAGAGCUCUAAUACAGUUUGUCUAAUGACGGUACCGUAA